rfam:Bacillus alcalophilus ATCC 27647 = CGMCC 1.3604 strain AV1934 contig00042, whole genome shotgun sequence.
UAUUAUUUACGGAAAGGAAUGAUGGGUGGACGAUGGAUAACUAACCUAUUUUUUACAUUUGAAAUCGUAUAUUUCAGAUUAUAAAACAUAGGAUUAGUCUGCCCAUUUUUCUAUAAACGUUUGAGCUAUAUGAUUAUAUGGCUUCAUUUAGGUACGUUAAAAUGCGACUAAUCCUUCCAUGUCUAUUGGGAGGAUUUUUUU